rnacentral:lncRNA from 1 species
CGUUUAACCCUGGAUGCUCAGAGCGGAGGCUCAGAGAGGUUAGACUCCAUGAGAGCUGCACAGCAGCGCGUGGCAGAGUCGACUUCCUUGACUCUCUCUCUGCAGGGCCCUCUCACAUGGUAGAGCAGCCACCGCCCCAAACGACGUGAAAAGCCCGGCACGCCUGCUCCCGUCCCUGACCUGAGGAGGCACUGAAGAUCUACCGGGAGUCAGUCAGGCAUGGAGAGGCCCGGCAGGGAGACGCAUCGGCUCUCAGGCCUCAGAGUGAAUUGUCACAAGUGAUUAACUGCUUCAGCAGCAACACUCUUGGAACCAUCCUUGGCAUUCGGCUCCUGCGUGCGUCUCCUGAGCUCACCAGUAGACACGUCACGUGUCCACGGAGAGGAGAAGUGGAGGCAGGAGCUUGGUGCAUCCUGUCAUCAUGUUAACCUGGGGUCCAGGGAUGAGCGUGAACCAACUGAAGCCGUGUGGUCUGGGCUCGACCCCAGCACAGUGCAGGUAGGAGUCUAUGUGUACCUGUGCACAUGCAUUUUCCUGCGGAAAUGGCUCACAUGAUUUUUAACACCAGAUUUUCAAGGGGACUCUUAAACAACCAAGGUGAUUAAGAACCAUAGCAUUAGAGAUGGACACUUGAGAAGUCUGAAUCAGAGAUUUAAGAACAAAAAAAAGAAGCUGUGUCGU